UACGAAGGGGACUAGCGUUGUUCGGAAUCACUGGGCGUAAAGCGCACGUAGGCGGAUGUGUCAGUCAGGGGUGAAAUCCUGGAGCUCAACUCCAGAACUGCCUUCGAUACUGGAGAGCUCGAGUCCGGGAGAGGUGAGUGGAACUGCGAGUGUAGAGGUGAAAUUCGUAGAUAUUCGCAAGAACACCAGUGGCGAAGGCGGCUCACUGGCCCGGUACUGACGCUGAGGUGCGAAAGCGUGGGGAGCAAACAGG
rnacentral:rRNA from 1 species